UCUACCUAGUAGUACGGAAUAAUUGUUGGAAACGGCAACUAAUACCGUAUACGCCCUACGGGGGAAAAAUUUAUUGCUAUUAGAUGAGCCUAUAUUAGAUUAGCUAGUUGGUGGAGUAAUAGCCUACCAAGGCAAUGAUCUAUAGCUGAUCUGAGAGGAUGAUCAGCCACACUGGAACUGAGAUACGGUCCAGACUCCUACGGGAGGCAGCAGUGGGGAAUAUUGGACAAUGGGCGAAAGCCUGAUCCAGCCAUGCCGCAUGAGUGAAGAAGGCCUUUGGGUUGUAAAGCUCUUUUAGUGAGGAAGAUAAUGACGGUACUCACAGAAGAAGUCCUGGCUAACUCCGUGCCAGCAGCCGCGGUAAUACGGAGAGGGCUAGCGUUAUUCGGAAUUACUGGGCGUAAAGGGCGCGUAGGCUGAUUAAUAAGUUAAAAGUGAAAUCCCGAGGCUUAACCUUGGAAUUGCUUUUAAAACUAUUAAUCUAGAGAUUGAAAGAGGAUAGAGGAAUUCCUGAUGUAGAGGUAAAAUUCGUAAAUAUUAGGAGGAACACCAGUGGCGAAGGCGUCUAUCUGGUUCAAAUCUGACGCAGAAGCGCGAAGGCGUGGGGAGCAAACAGGAUGAGAUGCCCUGGUAGUCCACGCUGUAAACGAUGAAUGUUAAAUAUGGGAAGUUUACUUUCUGUAUUACAGCUA
rnacentral:rRNA from 1 species